AUUGAACGCUGGCGGCAUGCCUUACACAUGCAAGUCGAACGGCAGCACGGGAGCUUGCUCCUGGUGGCGAGUGGCGAACGGGUGAGUAAUGCAUCGGAACGUACCCGGAAGUGGGGGAUAACGUAGCGAAAGUUACGCUAAUACCGCAUAUUCUGUGAGCAGGAAAGAGGGGGAUCGCAAGACCUCUCGCUUUCGGAGCGGCCGAUGGCGGAUUAGCUAGUUGGUGGGUAAAGGCCUACCAAGGCGACGAUCCGUAGCGGGUCUGAGAGGAUGAUCCGCCACACUGGAACUGAGACACGGUCCAGACUCCUACGGGAGGCAGCAGUGGGGAAUUUUGGACAAUGGGCGAAAGCCUGAUCCAGCCAUGCCGCGUGAGUGAAGAAGGCCUUCGGGUUGUAAAGCUCUUUCGGCUGAAAAGAAAUCGCACAGGCUAAUACCUUGUGUGGAUGACGGUAUCAGCAUAAGAAGCACCGGCUAACUACGUGCCAGCCGCCGCCGUAA
rnacentral:rRNA from 1 species